AAUGUUUAUUAUUAAGAUUAUUUUAAAUUAAUAAACUUAUAAAUUAGUUUUUAACGCCUAAACGAAGCCCUCAAAACACGUAUUACAAGCUAAGGAGUGUAAGACCUUGUGAAUAAACCUCUGAAGGCGAAGUUAAUAUCUUUUCGUUGGGUGAUCUUUAAACCUAUAUAAACAAAGAACUUAAUUAAGAAUUGAUUGAAGAAAACGGAGUUAAGAAGAAAGAAGUAUUAACCAACUUAGUUAGUGUCACCGAAUAUGGUGAAUAUCUUCAUUGUUGCCAAAGAAUUCGAAUUAAUAAGAUUGUUACAUGAUAAAGAAGAGAAUUAACUACUUAUCACUAACUAAAAUUGAAGGAAUUCUGAAUUUACAAACGAUUUUAACUCCGAAGAGUAUUUCUAUCAAAGAAUUGUAUAAAAAAUAAUGAGAAGGAUGCCACAACUGAAUAAAUUGGUGAAAAAGGCCUUGUUAUUGCGGUGAAUUUGCUUACUUAAUAAGCACGCGUGUUCUUGGUGGUUCGUGCUGAAAAGCUUACGAAGCGUCGCGUUCUGCGAACAUCGGUCGACUGCCUGAAGCAGAAGAGUUCGGCUGCAACCCGGGUUCCAAUGGGAUGAGCGCACGCAUCCCUAUUGCCGGCGGCACGCUCCUGGCAAUACCAGGAGAGAAACUUGAAGUGACUUGAAAUUUGAUCACCAACGAGAGAGAGAGCAAACUUGUGGAUAUUGUGACACCUGUAUGUCUGGCCUCAAGGUUGAAGUACCUCAAAAUAAUGGAUAAGUCGUAAAAUCUUAAUGUUUAUGGAUUUAAAAUUUUAUACAAUUCUUCAAAUCGCCGGAUUUAAUCGGAUUAUUCGGAAAACCCUGAAAUAACGAUUGUUUUGAAGGUGUAACUAGAAACUUGGAAACCACGUAGAACUUUAGCUUUUGCAAUGUACAUAACGCAGGUGCGAUUGCGGUUGCCACAAGCGAUGACUUAAAGUGCUUUCUGAGGUAAAGUUGGACUACACUUGAAGGAGCGAACAUGGUUCGAUGUUGUAACGAUAAAACAGGAAAUUUAUCUCGGCUUUACGUGCCUUAGUAUUUGGAAGUUGAACAAAACGGUGGCAAUUAAUGAUAAAAAGUUUAAUCCGACGACAAAUAAAUUAUGCGCGCCGUUGCGGGCCACAGUCACGUUCGCGUUCACGUUCAAGGCGGUUUCUCAAUUAAUACACACCGAACAAUAACCGGCGGUGGGGGGAUAGAGAUUUCCACUUCCGGUUCGCGAACCCAGCACAAUCACCUGCAUUCAAUAAUAAUUUAUCUGGCUGAAAACGGCCCCCCGUAUCGCGGAUUAUUUCGGUUAGAGGGGAGGCGACACCGUAAUUCCCCCCAUUGUUGCCGAGCUUUCUGAAGUCUAAUCUAGGCAAAACUGGGCCCUGGAUAUUCCAGAUACGCUGUGUUACCAACAAACUAGUAUCGGACUUUAAAUAAUUUUUGUAGUAAAAUUUAAUUUUGUUUUCUUUGAUCCUUUACGUUUCCGUAAAGAACAAAAGGGAAGGCAAUUCUGAAAAACAGGGCGUUUAGAAAAUCCCAGAUGGGGUGGGAAUUAUUCAAAUGCGGCGAAGAGGGCUUUAGGUUCCCGGUGGUUCGGAGCCGUAACGCACGCAAAUUCUUUCCUAAUAACUGAAGUUUGCGCGAUUUGGCGUACGCCGUCGGAAUAAAGAUCCCUCGGAAAAUCCGGCCUUUGCGGAAAGCGUAAGUGUGUAAUAAUUCCCAGGGACGGCUAAAAUUUACAUCGAAAGUUCGAUUGGACUGAAUUUCGAAUUCCCAAAACGAUUCGGUUAAGAUGUGUUGUUUAUAUUGUAUUGAAUUUUAAUUUGAUAUAUAAACACAAUAUUCGAA
rnacentral:lncRNA from 1 species